rnacentral:rRNA from 1 species
GUGUCAGCAGCCGCGGUAAUACGGAGGGUGCAAGCGUUAUCCGGAUUCACUGGGUUUAAAGGGUGCGUAGGCGGGUAUUUAAGUCAGUGGUGAAAUCCUAGAGCUUAACCCUAGAACUGCCAUUGAUACUAUUUAUCUUGAAUAUUGUGGAGGUAAGCGGAAUAUGUCAUGUAGCGGUGAAAUGCUUAGAUAUGACAUAGAACACCUAUUGCGAAGGCAGCUUACUACGCAUAUAUUGACGCUGAGGCACGAAAGCGUGGGGAGCAAACAGGAUUAGAAACCCCAGUAGUCC